GAAUCCUGGGACAACGGUGGUUAGGAGUUUCUCGACUACGAAAAAGAAGAGGAAGAGGAGAAGACCCCCGAUUCAUCUUUUUUCUGAUGCCAAUUCUUCCCCUUCGCUUUGAUUUCAUCGCAGACGCUUCCUCUCGGGCUUGAAUCAUCGGAUUCCUAUCUUCAUGGACGGGUGAAGCCAGGGACAUGGUUAAGAGGAAGAGGAAGAGGGAGAAGGCCCAUAGGGCACCAUCUACUACGGUUUAUAGUUGUAGGUAAGGAACAUUGAAGAAAAAACCCUACUCAUAG